rnacentral:rRNA from 1 species
UUUAAAACAANCCCCUUCGGGGCUUACUGGUGAUUCACGAUAACUCCUCGAAUCGCAUGGCCUUGUGCCGGCGAUGGUUCAUUCAAAUUUCUUCCCUAUCAACUUUCGAUGUUUGGGUAUUGGCCAAACAUGGUUGCAACGGGUAACGGAGGGUUAGGGCUCGACCCCGGAGAAGGAGCCUGAGAAACGGCUACUACAUCCAAGGAAGGCAGCAGGCGCGCAAAUUACCCAAUCCCGACACGGGGAGGUAGUGACAAUAAAUACUGAUACAGGGCUCUUUUGGGUCUUGUAAUUGGAAUGAGUACAAUUUAAAUCCCUUAACGAGGAACAAUUGGAGGGCAAGUCUGGUGCCAGCAGCCGCGGUAAUUCCAGCUCCAAUAGCGUAUAUUAAAGUUGUUGUGGUUAAAAAGCUCGUAGUUGAACCUUGGGCCUGGCUGGCCGGUCCGCCUCACCGCGUGUACUGGUCCGGCCGGGCCUUUCCCUCUGUGGAACCCCAUGCCCUUCACUGGGUGUGGCGGGGAACCAGAACUUUUACA